rnacentral:rRNA from 1 species
ACGGAAGGUCCGGGCGUUAUCCGGAUUUAUUGGGUUUAAAGGGAGCGUAGGCCGUUUGUUAAGCGUGUUGUGAAAUGUCGGGGCUCAACCUGGGCAUUGCAGCGCGAACUGGCAGACUUGAGUGCGCGGGAAGUAGGCGGAAUUCGUCGUGUAGCGGUGAAAUGCUUAGAUAUGACGAAGAACUCCGAUUGCGAAAGCAGCCUGCUGUAGCGUAACUGACGCUGAAGCUCGAAAGCGUGGGUAUCGAACAG